rnacentral:rRNA from 1 species
CCCUUAGAUGUUCUGGGCCGCACGCGCGCUACACUGACUACUUCAACGAGUUGUUUCCUUGAUCGAAAGGUCUGGGUAAUCUUUGAAAGGUAGUCGUGAUGGGGAUAGAUCCUUGCAAUUUUUGAUCUUCAACGAGGAAUUCCUAGUAAACGCAAGUCAUCAGCUUGCAUUGAUUACGUCCCUGCCCUUUGUACACACCGCCCGUCGCUCCUACCGAUUGAGUGCUCAGGUGAAUAGUAUGGACUGCAUCAGUGUUCGGUCUCCGAAUGUUGACGCGAGAAAUUCUGUGAAUCUUAUUGCUUAGAGGAAGGAGAAGUCGUANCA